rnacentral:rRNA from 1 species
UACGUAGGGUCCGAGCGUUGUCCGGAUUUAUUGGGCGUAAAGAGCUCGCAGGCGGUUCCGUAAGUCAGAUGUGAAAACUCAGGGCUCAACCCGGAGACGCCAUCUGAUACUGCGGUGACUGGAGUCUGGUAGGGGAACACGGAAUUCCUGGUGUAGCGGUGAAAUGCGCAGAUAUCAGGAGGAACACCGAUGGCGAAGGCAGUGUUCUGGGCCAGUACUGACGCUGAGACGCGAAAGCGUGGGGAGCAAACAGG